rnacentral:rRNA from 1 species
AAUGGGCGCAAGCCUGAUCCAGCCAUGCCGCGUGAGUGAAGAAGGCCUUCGGGUUGUAAAGCUCUUUCGGCCGGAACGAAAUCGACUAGGCCAAUACCCUGGUCGGAUGACGGUACCGGAAGAAGAAGCACCGGCUAACUACGUGCCAGCAGCCGCGGUAAUACGUAGGGUGCAGGCGUUAAUCGGAAUUACUGGGCGUAAAGCGUGCGCAGGCGGCUUCCUAAGUCAGAUGUGAAAUCCCCGGGCUCAACCUGGGAACUGCGUUUGAAACUGGGAGGCUAGAGUGCGGCAGAGGGAGGUGGAAUUCCACGUGUAGCAGUGAAAUGCGUAGAUAUGUGGAGGAACACCGAUGGCGAAGGCAGCCUCCUGGGCCAGCACUGACGCUCAUGCACGAAAGCGUGGGGAGCAAA